AAAUAAAAUAAAAUAAAAACCUAAUUACUCUCUCUUUCCCCUAUUAUCUCUCUCCACAUUAUUCUCUCUUACCCUGUUUUUGCUUUCCUCAUUUCAAUCUCUCCUCUCUCCAUUUUUAUAUCAUCAUCAUGUUAGUCGAGCCAGUAAAAUUGGACCAGCAAAUCCUACCCCUCAACGCAAAUCAUGAAGCCAAUAAAUUUAGACAAAACCCACAAUGAUCAAAUCUGAACCUACCCAGAUUGCAGAAAAGCAAUAUCAGCCGAUCAAUUGAACUUGGAAAACAUCUCCUUCCUAGCUCUUCUUACAUUAUCAUACUCAAA
rnacentral:misc_RNA from 1 species